GAUGAAGAACGCAGCGAAAUGCGAUAAGUAGUGUGAAUUGCAGAAUUCAGUGAAUCAUCGAAUCUUUGAACGCACAUUGCGCCCUUUGGUAUUCCUUAGGGCAUGCCUGUUCGAGCGUCAUUUAAACCUUCAAGCUCAGCUUGGUGUUGGGUGACUGUCCGCUUCACCGCGGACUCGCCUCAAAAUUAUUGGCGGCCGGUACAUUGGCUUCGAGCGCAGCAGAUACGCGAACUCGGGCCCGUCGUAUUGGCUCCCAGAAGCUAUCUUCACAAUUUUGACCUCGGAUCAGGUAGGGAUACCCGCUGAACUUAAGCAUAUCAAUAAGCGGAGGA
rnacentral:misc_RNA from 1 species